rnacentral:rRNA from 1 species
AUUGAACGCUGGCGGCAUGCUUUACACAUGCAAGUCGAACGGUAACAGGGAGCUUGCUCCGCUGACGAGUGGCGAACGGGUGAGUAAUGCGUCGGAACGUGCCGAGUAGUGGGGGAUAACGCAUCGAAAGGUGUGCUAAUACCGCAUACGAACUGAGGUUGCAAGUGGGGGACCUUCGGGCCUCACGCUAUCCGAGCGGCCGACGUCUGAUUAGCUAGUUGGUGAAGUAAAGGCUCACCAAGGCGACGAUCAGUAGCGGGUCUGAUAGGAUGGUCCGCCACACUGGGACUGAGACACGGCCCAGACUCCUACGGGAGGCAGCAGUGGGGAAUUUUGGACAAUGGGCGCAAGCCUGAUCCAGCCAUGCCGCGUGUCUGAAGAAGGCCUUCGGGUUGUAAAGGACUUUUGUCCGGGAGCAAAUGCUGGUGGCUAACAUCCACCGGAGCUGAGAGUACCGGAAGAAUAAGCACCGGCUAACUACGUGCCAGCCGCCGCCGUAAUAC